UUGCAUGAAAUAAUAGAUGACCUAUGUUGCAUAGGAGAAGGAGACCCACGACGAGGAGUAGAAGGAGACCUUUGAUACCCCCGACGUACAGGAGAUGGUGAUCUACGUCGUAAGGAAGGGGGUGAUCUACGACGAAGAGGUGAAGGUGAUCUACGUGACACGGGUGAAGGUGAUCUACGCCUUAAAGGCAACGGGGAUCUACGACGCAUAGGGAAAGGAGAUCUACGGCGUACAGGGGAAGGGGAUCUACGACGCCUCAUAGGUGAAGGGGAUCCACGUCGCCUAAUAGGUGAGGGGGAUCUUCGACGUCGAAUAGGUGAGGGGGAUCUACGACGUCGAAUAGGUGAGGGGGAUCUGCGACGUCGAACUGGUGAGGGGGAUCUAUCAUGCACGGGUGAGGGUGACCUGCGUCGAAAGGGAGAACGCAAUCUACGUCGUAUAGGGGAUGGUGACCUAUGUCUUAAAGGAGAUCUAGAUAUAUGC
rnacentral:lncRNA from 1 species